rnacentral:rRNA from 1 species
UACGGGGGGGGCAAGCGUUGUUCGGAAUUACUGGGCGUAAAGGGCAGGUAGGUGGUCUGAUUUGUCUGGAGGUGAAAUCCUUGAGCUUAACUCGAGAAGUGCCCCGGAAACGGUCAGACUUACGAGUCUUGGAGAGGAGGGUGGAAUUCCUGGUGUAGCGGUGAAAUGCGUAGAGAUCAGGAGGAACACCCGUGGCGAAGGCGGCCCUCUGGCUCGACCCUGACGCUGAGGCGCGAAAGCGUGGGGAGCGAACGGG